UUGGACAUGGCGUAGUGGGAACGCAGCCUCUUCUUCUCACUUGCAUCUCUUGAACUUACAGAGGUAUUCCAGGGUUCGAAUCCCUGUGUCUGAA